ACUGCUCCAUUCAAAGUCCAUCAAUGAGUACGGUAGUACGGACAUGGCCCAUUGAGGGUGAAAGGCCCGUUUGAGUGGAGGUUUUGUAUACCAGUGUCUCUCUGGAUUGACCNUAGANUCGGGUUGUUUGUGAAUGCAGCCCAAAGUGGGUGGUAAACUCCAUCCAAGGCUAAAUACAAGCACGAGUCCGAUAGCGAACAAGUACCGUGAGGGAAAGUUGAAAAGUACUUUGAAGAGAGAGUAAACAGUGCGUGAAACCGCUCANAGGUAAACAGAUGGGGUUGAACUGCAUGCUUUGAAAAUUCANCUGGUGANCUUAUGUUGAGCUUGGUCAAAUUUGUCNANCCCUGAGGUAUGCUUACCUGCAUGUCCCGCCUUC
rnacentral:rRNA from 1 species